rnacentral:lncRNA from 2 species
CACUCAGCUUUCUGAAAUGGUGUCCCACCGCAAGGACUGGAGAAGGGCUGGAGUCCAAUGGUGCGAUGUCUGCUUACUGCAACCUCUGCCUCCCGGGUUCAAGCGAUUCUCCUGUCUCAGCCUCCUGAGGAGAUGGGACUACAGGCACCCUUGGAAAUGCAAUGCUACAUCUCAAUGGGAUUUUCCAGUACAAAGAUUCUUUUCAAAUAACAUAAUUGUGGAUACACACCACUCCUACAGUGGUAAACCUCAGGUUCUCCUCCUGCCUUUUGCUAAGUAUAUGUCUUGAUGACAAGCCUUCUGCUGAUGAGCUGUGUUUCUGGACCGAUCAUGGUAGAAGUCAAUUAACGUGUCCCUCACUUGGGGUUUCUCAAGGCUGCACUGAUGAGGAAACUGAAACAGAAAAUCCAGAGUAAAUUCCACCAGGCCACACAGCAAGGUCUGAUAGAGCCAGGAGAGACUUUAUGAAAUCCAGACUCUCACACUAAUGCUCUAUCAGCUAGACCUCCAUGUGAGUCUCCCCAAUGUAGGUAGGAAGUGCUUUCCCUAAAAUGCUCAUAAAGCAAAUCAGAGCAAUGCUGCAUUCCAUGUGAUUUCUAAUUUGAAAUGCAAACAAUUGCCAAUUUGUUUGACUUGUAUUUAUAAU